UGCCAGCAGCCAAGGGGAAGGAGCUGUCCCAGAGCAACCAAAGGGGAGAGGCCUGACUGCAGACACUAUCAUUUCAAAUGCUAACAUGAAAACUGAAGGUCCGCUAACACUGUCCAAGCUUUGUCUGAAUUGAAACUGAAGGAUCAAGCUGCAAGUCAAUUAUGAAUGUAGCCAGGAUUCCAGCCUAAUGCCUUGCCAGGUAGAUCACACUGUCUUCCAUUAAAGGUUUUAUACCACUUGCUGUUUCUCUUUUUCCAGAAGGUCUAUGGAAGAUUUUGGAAAUCUUGAUUCUCAGCAGCUGUUUUUCCAGACGCCAUGGAAAGAACAAAGAAAGAAAUCUGACAACUAUAGAAUGAAAAAGAAAAUACUGAAAUUAUUCCAGUUUAAGUUAACAAUGGAUUUGAGUGCUUCCCUCACUAUCCUAAUUUAAGACAAGCUCUGAAGUGUCUUAUAUCCACUGAAGUUGGUAGUGAGUGUAGCCAAUUUUUCUUCAGGACCCAAUAAAACUUGUGAUAAUGGUAUGUAAGUUUGAAUAACAAUAAAAAUAUGUUUAUCUUUGUAUACAUAUAGAAGCUAAGAGAUGGAAAUACAUAAAUGUAUCCAUCCAAAAUUUUUUUCUGAAAAAAAUUUGGAUGAUUUUACCAUUAUGUUGCAACUUAAAUAUAAUUGCCUUAUAGAACUGGAACUAUACAAUUAGAAUGAGUAAAAUGAUAUAUAUAUGCAACACUAUCAUGUAGAAAAUCUAUACCAGUUCAUGUGCCACAUUAUCACCAUAGGGUACUGUCAGUGAUGUGAGUGAAGAGAGAGCCAAAAUAUAAGCACAAAUAAGAACAUUUUUCAUAGCUAUUCUUGAGGAAUUGUUAGCAUUAUGUCCUAAUAACACCAGAAAUAGAAACUGAAUUUCAUUUCUACUUCUAUCUGUAUUCCAUAGUUCCCUGUCCCCCCAACCCCCAAAUGACAGGUGGAAGGUUCCCAGGAUAUUUACCUAAGGACCUUGUAUGAACCCUAUUACUAUGGUGUCUGAGAACGUAACCAUGUUUCAUACACAAAUCCUAGGUACCAUGCCACUUAAUGGAUGCCUUAAUUGUGAACUGACCACUUAAAUUUUUAUAUAACAAUGUUAGUAAAACUUACUUGGAAAAAAACAGCUUCAGGUCCUUUGAUGUUUGGCUUACGUUUGGGCUCUAGCUGCUGAACUGCUUAUGGGGUUUCAAUUAAACAGUCAUUCAGUUACAAAACCGAUAUAAUCCUGGAAUCACAUUCCUUUUGUGAGGAUCCCAAUCCUGUCCAUGUAUAUUAGGAAUUUUCAGACCAUGCCUAUUGUAUUGA